rnacentral:rRNA from 1 species
ACGGGAGGCAGCAGCUAAGAAUAUUCCGCAAUGGGGGAAACCCUGACGGAGCGACGCCGCGUGGAUGAUGAAGGCCGGAAGGUUGUAAAGUCCUUUUAUGGCAGAGGAAUAAGUGCGGGAGGGAAUGCCCGCAUGGUGACUGUAGGCCAUGAAUAAGCACCGGCUAAUUACGUGCCAGCAGCCGCGGUAACACGUAAGGUGCAAGCGUUGUUCGGAAUCAUUGGGCGUAAAGGGCUUGUAGGCGGCGUGUCAAGCGGAGCGUGAAAUCACGGGGCUCAACCCCGUGGCUGCGCUGCGAACUGGCAUGCUGGAGUCGCUGAGGGGGAACCGGAAUUCCUGGUGUAGGGGUGAAAUCUGUAGAUAUCAGGAAGAACACCGAUGGCGAAGGCAGGUUUCCAGCAGACGACUGACGCUGAGGAGCGAAGGUGCGGGGAGCAAACAGGAUUAGAUACCCUGGUA